rnacentral:rRNA from 1 species
AAGCAUAUCAAUAAGCGGAGGAAAAGAAACCAACAGGGAUUGCCCUAGUAACGGCGAGUGAAGCGGCAACAGCUCAAAUUUGAAAUCUGGCUCUCGGGCCCGAGUUGUAAUUUGUAGAGGAUGCUUUUGAUGCGGUGCCUUCCGAGUUCCCUGGAACGGGACGCCAUAGAGGGUGAGAGCCCCGUCUGGUUGGAUGCCAAAUCUCUGUAAAGCUCCUUCGACGAGUCGAGUAGUUUGGGAAUGCUGCUCUAAAUGGGAGGUAUAUGUCUUCUAAAGCUAAAUACCGGCCAGAGACCGAUAGCGCACAAGUAGAGUGAUCGAAAGAUGAAAAGCACUUUGAAAAGAGAGUUAAAAAGUACGUGAAAUUGUUGAAAGGGAAGCGUUUAUGACCAGACUUGGGCUUGGUUAAUCAUCUGGGGUUCUCCCCAGUGCACUUUUCCAGUCCAGGCCAGCAUCAGUUUUCGCCGGGGGAUAAAGGCUUCGGGAAUGUGGCUCUCUCCGGGGAGUGUUAUAGCCCGUUGCGUAAUACCCUGGCGGGGACUGAGGUUCGCGCAUCUGCAAGGAUGCUGGCGUAAUGGUCAUCAACGACCCGUCUUGAAC